rnacentral:lncRNA from 1 species
GUUUCCAACCCUUGCUUACUACUAAACAGACUGGCUACCAAAGGACUCUUGAUUCACCAUAGAAUGAAUAAGUCCUAAACUCGGGGGAAUCAGUCCCAACAACAUGAAAAUAGGACUUAAUCUCCAUGGCAUCACUCAUACAUCUUAUGAUACUCUAUUUUGUAGUAUAUUAUCAAUCAGCUACUGUGACAUACUGAAAGCAGGGCUAAUGGAUAUUUUAUAUGUUUCAUCUGUAUCUCAAUCUCAAGGAAGACUGGCUAAAGCCUCCCACCCCCACACCCCAAAAGUGAUGAUUUCUAGCCUAAGUGUCGUUUUUACCACGAGGAUGUAAAAAUAUAUAUAGGGGCGACUACCUAGCGGGAGUCGUUUCGNUUGUAUGCCACGAGGUCCCUAUGAACAAGGGGAAUCAUUGCUUUUGAGCACAGGCAACCCUCUACCAUCCAUCCCAUUGCAUUCCUUCGUCUCGUAUUGUACUGUACCAUACCAAACCAGAUACAAGUAUUGAGUGAGAGAAAGGUAGCUUCUCUAUAGAUAUAUUAUAAAUUCAUUUUUGAUAUGGAUAGGGAUCCCUAGAUUCCUGUCACUACGGAUUGAUUGUCUCGACUUAACUACAUGGUAGUGGUCUAGGGAGCGCAAUUGUUAGAGCACAACAAGGUACAUUCCUC